AGAUGCCCCAGCAUUGUCGUCGUCAGGAGGGAAGGUGGUGUAGUAACCACCGGAUGCUGAACCGGAGCCUCCAUACCAUGGCUGGCUCUCAACCUCGUCAAUCUCGUGCUCACUGUCAGAAGAAGCGAGGGAUGGGGAUUUGUUGCCGGAAGUGGAAGGUUGAGUGGGUGGGUUCCUCCACUUACGCUGAAGCUGCGCAGUAGUGAG
rnacentral:lncRNA from 1 species